rnacentral:misc_RNA from 1 species
CGCACAUUGCGCCCUUUGGCAUUCCGAGGGGCAUGCCCGUUCGAGCGUCAUUAAAUCCACUCAAGCCUGGCUUGGUCUUGGGCGCCGGGAGACCUCCCGCGCCCCCAUUUCGCCGGCUGGCCGUCGUUUGACUUAGCGUUGUGACACAUGUCGCUGACGAAGAAGACGGACCGCGCCGUGAGAACUCUCUUGGACGUCUACCGACGUCCAGUAAAGGUUGACCUCGGAUCGGGUAGGAAUACCCGCUGAACUUAA